AUGACCCCACCCCACAUUAUACCCCCCUUUUUUAUUUAUUUACUAUUUUUGAAGGACCGUCCAAACUUCCCACCCAAGCUAUUGCUAUCAAACUUGAAAUAAAAUAUAUUUAGUUUGCUUUAUGUCUUUACAAAUGUUCAAUAGAUUGUGGAAAAUAUACCUGAACUAUUACCUUGACCUUAUUGAAUAAUUUGAACAAUUACCCCAUGAUGGCUUACCUUAUACCGUCAAGCACUCAUAUAGUCGAGGGCGCUGUCCUCUGACAGCUCUUGCUUUUUAAAAAGCGUGGAUAUAUUGUGGUUAUCUCCGCUGUCUGUCCGUCCGUCUGUCCGUCCGUUCUCACGAAUGAUACAUUGUGCAACUUUUUUUAUGCCUAGAUAUGCAUUGUGUGUCUAAAUUUCAUUGUGCGACUAGUCGCAUAAAACAUUUGGCCAAACUUCGUCAAAAUGUGUUUUGUGCAACUUUAAGCCUAUCCGGAGAAGUCGCACAACGUUUUUGUCCAAAAUGAUAUCCAUGACAAACUGUCUAUGCAACGGACGAGACCAUAACUUCUAAUAUUGCAAGUGUCGGUGAAAGUUUGAGAGACUAUAUCUGAGCUAAUCAUAAAGCCUGCUUUCUAAACAACGCAUGUGCACACACCCGCGUAUCGCACAUGUGGCUUGUUGUGCAGUGGGACUGUCGAACGCCGCAGAACCCAUGAUAAAACGGAAUUAUAUUUUAUAGAACCAUAUGUGAGGUAAGUUUCGUAUGUUUUCUUUCUAUAACUAUAAUCCAUUAAAUGCUUUCUGUUUGUGAAUGACUUAUGGCACCCAGUUUAAGCAAUGAAAACAGGAAUAAAUAAGGUCAUUUUGAAAUCUGUUUUAUUGGCCACUCAGUGAUCGGGAAAUGCAAUAUUUAAAUUUUGUCCAAUUUCACGUGAACCUGCUCGUUGUUAGCAACGUAAUAAAGACGACGCCAUUUUGUUUGUUAGAUAUUAUAUGAGUUUAUAAAACAAGUGGAACAGAACUGUUUAGUUUUCUAUGACAGUGUUCAUUUUGUUUUUAUGUGAGUACCUGGUGCAUUGCUGCUAGAAACAGGACUAUAGAUAACAAGACUUAGUGUAUUUGCGUUAUUUCGCAAUUCAAAUAACCAAAAACGUAAUUAAAAUUCAAAAUAAAGCGUACAAAAACGCAAAUACAAAUUCAACAACGUAAUUCCCGUAAAAAACCUUACAUCAUGAAAGGCAAUUCUGAUGAACACCACGCGUAUUUUUUAGACUGGUUAUUUUCCGUACAAUAAUGUACCAGAUAGUUUAUAUGCCGUCCUAUAAAGAAAAGAAGGCAGUCUUUCCAGCGGUUAUCAAUCUUUUAGGUGUUAUUGUAAUUAUUCUUAGAACCAUCCAAUUUCUACUUUCAUUUUCUGUAAUAAUAAAAAUUGCCACUCGUUGACAUACAAUUUAAGGACCAGACUUUGAUCAGAAAUUCAGUAAUUGUUUGUUGUUAUGUACAGGUGCCUUUUUAAAUUCCAUUUGAAUAAACAAUAUUGUAACCUUGUAGAUUUGUAUUACAUUAUAAUAUGUCUUUCCCUAAAUUACCCAAUUGAGUUUAAAAAAAACGUGGGUGAAAAACCCAACUAAGCUCAUAAGAAGGGGGUGAAAAUGUUUGCUAAAACUCUAUUGAAUUGACAAAACCCCUAUUGUUGUAAAAAAUAGGGGGUGAUUACUAAAUAUAACAUCAGACUGAGUUGCAGUUGAAAGUUAUUACUUAAAAACACAUACAUGUAAAUAUAAAUUUUACAUUCAACACGAACACACAAGUUACUUGCAUGUUCAUUUUGUAAAUAAUUCUGAGGUAAAUGCAAGGCUUUUUUCAGCCAAUUUUACAGCCUUGAUGGUUGGCCGAUGAAAAUACUAAAAGAGAAAAAAUUAUAGUUAUUGUGUUAAUAAAAUGUUUAACUUUUAUUGGAAUAUUCAAUGCUGGUCUAAUUUUUGUGUAUUUUCGCACUUUAAUCAAUGUAAAAAAUUAAGAUGGUGCAAAUUGAUAUACAAUAAAAGACUGAGUGAACUGCAAUUUUGUCUAAGGAUACACAAUUAUCACUUUGAAAGUUCAGCAGCCUUGUUGCUUUUUACAAAUCAACCUGUGUGAAUAAUACCACAGGAUUGCAAAUACAAACAAUUAUUUCAAAUUACUGAAAAUGAGCUGAUUUUGAUGUGUGAGCGUAAGCUCACAAAUAAUGUAGAGGCAAUUUUGCAACUCAGUCUGCUGUUAAGUACGCUAGGAACCAUAACCACUGCCUGUCUGCACUACCUGCAGUAAAAUAUUGCAGACGACAAAUGCUAUGAGUGUGUGCUCUAACCACAGCAUCUGCCUGUUUAUAGUUCCCACUGGUACACUACAUUGUGUGUAUGUAAUCAAAAGUAUUUAACAGCUUGUAAGACAACAAUGGCCAGUCUAGUGUUUAUCAUUGAAAUCUGUACAUAUUGGCUGCUUUCAGGGAAAACGGGGCUUAAUGCAUAUCAAAUAAGAUUAGCCUGUGCACACUGAUUAGCCUGUGCAAUGCGACAGGUUAAUCAAGGACGACAAUUUCUGAUUUUGUGGUGUUUUUGGUUAAAAGAGAGUCUCGUGUACUAGGAUGGACAUUACAGUCACACACCUGCGUUAUGGACAUGACAGUUACUUAGUUUAAUAGAAUUUAAGUCACACAAUUUAUGGACAUGACAGUCACUUAGGUUAUGGACGUUAAACUCACACAAGUUUUGGACAUGACAGUUAAAUACAAUUAAAGUCACACAAUUUAUGGACAUGACAGUCACACAACUUACGGACAUUACAGUUACUUAGGUUAUGGAUGUUAAAGUCACACAAGUUAUGGACAUGCCAGUUACUAAGUUUAAUAACAUUAAAGUCACACAAUUUAUGGACAUGACAGUCACUUAGGUUAUAGACAAUAAAGUCACACAACUUACGGACAUUUCAGUGACACAACUUACAGUAAUUACAGUUACUUAGAUUAUUAACAUUAAAGUCACACAAUUUAUGGACAUGACAGUCACUGAGGUUUUAGAAGUUAAAGUCACACAAGUUAUGGACAUGACAGUUACUUAGUUAAAUAAAAUUGAAGUCACACAAUUUAUGGACUCGACAGUCACUUAGGUUAUGGACAAUUAAGUCACACAACUUACGGACAUAACCCUGACACAACUUAGGGUCAUUACAGUUACUUUGAUUAUUAACAUUAAAGUCACACAAUUUAUGGACAUGACAGUCACGUAGGUUAUGGACGUUAAUGUCACACAAGUUAUGGACAUGCCAGUUACUUAGUUUAAUAAAACUAAAGUCACACAAUUUAUGGACAUGACAGUCACUUAGGUUAUAGACAAUUUAGUCACACAACUUACGGACAUUACAGUCAACAAGUUAGGGACAGUCACAUGCCAGUGACUUAGUUUAUUAUGCCCCCCUUCGAAGAAGAGGGGGUAUAUUGCUUUGCUCAUGUCGGUCUGUCUGUCGGUCGGUCGGUCGGUAGGUCGGUCUGUCGGUAGGUCAGUCGGUAGGUCGGUCGGUAGGUCGGUCGGUCGGUCCGUCCACCAGGUGGUUGUCAGAUGAUAACUCAAGAACGCUUGGGCCUAGGAUCAUCAAACUUCAUAGGUACAUUGAUCAUGACUUGCAGAUGACCCCUAUUGAUUUUGAGGUCACUAGGUCAAAGGUCAAGGUCAUGGUGACCCGAAAUAGUAAAAUGGUUUCCUGAUGAUAACUCAAGAACGCAUACGCCUAGGAUCAUGAAACUUCAUGGAAGAUUGAUCAUGACUCGCAGAUGACCCCUAUUGAUUUUGAGGUCACUAGGUCAAAGGUCAAGGUCACGGUGACCCGAAAUAGUAAAAUGGUUUCCUGAUGAUAACUUAAGAAAGCAUACGCCUAGGAUCAUGAAACUUCAUGGGUAGAUUGAUCAUGACUCGCAGAUGACCCCUAUUGAUUUGGAGGUCACUAGGUCAAAGGUCAAGGUCACGGUGACCCGAAAUAGUAAAAUGAUUUUCGGAUGAUAAUUCAAGAACGCAUAUGCCUAGGAUCAUGAAACUUUAUAGGUAGCUUGAUCAUGACUCGCAGAUAACCCCUAUUGAUGUUCAGGUCACUAGGUCAAAGGUCAAGGUCACGGUGACCCGAAAAAGUAAAAUGAUUUUCGGAUGAUAACUCAAGAACGCAUAUGCCUAGGAUCAUGAAACUUCAUAGGUAGAUUGAUCAUGACUUGCAGAUGACCCCUAUUGAUUUUGAGGUCACAAGGUCAAAGGUCAAGGUGACCCGAAAUAGUAAAAUGAUUUUCGGAUGAUAACUCAAGAACGCUUUUGCCUAGGAUCAUGACUUUUCAUAGGUACAUUGAUUGUGACUUGCAGAUGACCUCUAUUGAUUUUUAAUAUUAAAGACACACAAUUUAUGGACAUGACAGUCACUUAGGUUAUGGACGUUAAAGUCACACAAGUUAUGGAAAUGACAGUUUCACAGUUUAAUAAAAUUAAAGUCGCGCAAUUUAUGGACAUGACAGUCACUUAUGUUAUGGACAAAUAAGUCACACAACUUACGGACAUGAUAGUCACACAAGUUAUGGACAUGCCAGUUACUUAGAUUAUUAACAUUAAAGUCACGCAAUUUAUGGACAUGAUAGUCACUUAGAUUAUGGACAAUUUAGUCACACAACUUACGGACAUGACAGUCACACAAGUUAUGGACAUGCCAGUUACUUAGAUUAUUAACAUAAAGUCACACAAUUUAUGGACAUGAUAGUCACUUAGGUUAUGGACAUGACAGUCACACAACUUACGAACAUUAUAGUCACACAAGUUAUGGACAUGACAGUUUAAUAAAAUUAAAGUCACACAAUUUAUGGACAUGACAGUCACUUAGGUUAUGGACAUAACAGUUACACGAGUUAUGGACAUAGAAAUUGCACAGAUUUUGGAAUUUGUUACUUGUUAUAGUUACAAUAAAUGCUAACAGGCUGUGGAUAUAAUGGUAAAAUGUUAUUAAAAACACAUUGGUAAUAGGGAUAAAAGAUACACUAGUGAUGGAGUUCAGAUACACAAAUCAUGCCUAUUAAUGACACAAAAAGUCCUAUAAUCAAAUAAGAAAAUUAAUUUCAGUGGCUUUUAAGAAGCAACCAAAUUACUUGGAGGCUUCUUAAAUGAUGUAGAGUUUGCAAUGAAGGAGGGGUUCUUAAAGGUAUACAAACGUAAACUUUUAUUGAUGAUAUUUCUGUAACUUGCCUUUUAAAUAUGUUCAGAAUUACAAACUAACUAAAAUAAAUUGAAUAUCCACAACAUUUACUGCAAGGUAACAAGUAUUUGAACUAUUCAUUUUACUUUGAUUUCAAUAAAAAAUGUAUGUACAAACAUAUUAACAAUUUUGACUUUACCUGUACACAUAAUGUUUGUGUAUGUGACUAUUGUCACCUGUUCUGUGUAUUUAUGCCCCGGUAGGGUGGCAUAUAGCAGUUGAACUGUCCGUCAGUCAGUAUGUAAGUGUUUAUGUCAGUCUGUCCGUCUGUCCGAAAAAAACAACACUUUAACGUUGGCCAUAACUUUUGCAUUAUUGAAGAUAGAAACUUGAUAUUUGGCAUGCAUGUGUAUCUCAUGAAGCUGCACAUUUUGAGUGGUGGAAGUUCAACGUCAAGUUCAUCCUUCAAGGUCAAAGUUUAAAAAAAAAAAUCAAAGCGGCGUUCUCAUGAAGCUGCACAUUUUGAGUGGUGGAAGGUCAAGGUUAUCCUUCAAGGUCAAAGGUAAAAAAAACCUCUUUUUUUUAUUUCAAAGCGGCACAAUAGGGGGCAUUGUGUUUCUGACGAACAGAUCUCUUGUUCAUUUUAUAAUUCAUUAGUCAGCACAUUAUUGACCAAAACUCAUUUUUUUUGUUAAUGAUUUUAUCCCUUCAAAUCAGGAUGUAAGUAAAGAUACAUCACCCACAGGCAGUAAAGAGGUGUGCUUAUCAGGAGGUCAAGAUUCAUCGCCCACAGCCAGUCAAGAGGUUUGGCCAUCAGAACGUCAAGAUACAUCACCCACAGCCAGCUAAGAGGCGUGUUAAUCAGCAGUUCAAGAAACAUCACCCACACCCAGUCAAGAGGUGUGCUCAUCAUCAGUUCAAGAUACAUCACCCACACCCAGUCAAGAGGUGUGCUCAUCAUCAGGUCAAGAUACAUCACCCACACCCAGUCAAAAUGUGUGCUCAUCAUCAGGUCAAGAUACAUCACCCACACCCAGUCAAGAGGUGUGCUCAUCAUCAGGUCAAGAUACAUCACCCACACCUAGUCAAGAGGUGUGCUCAUCAUCAGGUCAAGAUACAUCACCCACAGCUGGUCAAGAGGUUUGGCCAUCAGCACAUCAAGACACAUCACACACAGCCAGUCAGGAGGUGAACCUUAGGAAAUACACUGCAACAUUAAGCCAGACUUUUUAACAGCUGGUCCAGAUACAUGUGGUAAUGAAAAUGGAGCAGAAGGUCAAGCAGAAGUCGAUGCUGAGCACGCAAGUCUUGAUACCCCAUAUGGCUAUGGAAGCAUGGACAAAGAUGACCACACUAUAUCAGAUGAGGAUGAAGAGGAAUUUAAGACCCCAAAAAAUGCUGAAAAACGUCAGAAAUUCACAGAGGUAGAAACAGAAGUAAUAAAAACUUACUUUGUUGAAUAUCUGAAAAGUGGAAUUUGUCUGCGAAAACAGCAGUUUGAAGAUGCCAAACAGAAAAGUCGUAAGAAAAAUGGGCAAAUUUUGGAAAAGGUCUAACGACAAGAUAAUUAAGAAAAUUAGUGCAAUGAAUCAUAAGAAAAAAUAAAAACAUGUUGUUUAUUUCUUGGAUGGAACAUUAUAAGAAAACCUACGAGAGACAUUGAAAAGUUCAUGUGACAGUGACUUGGUAAAUAUGGUUGAUGUUUGCAAGUGGUAAUUUUUGCGUGAGCAUUUUUAUUUGUUGCAUUGAAACUCUACUCUGUAUAUGUCUUAAGGUGGAAAAGAAUCUUAAGUCUGGUAUAUUAUCAAACGUUAAAAAUGCUUAUUAAAAACUUAGAUACACUAUUUUCCUUUUUGCUUCAUUGAUGCUUUUGGAAUGUACCUUAUUUACUUUCGUAUAUACCUGAUUUCAGUUUACAAAUAACACAAGUAAAGUUUAAGGUAUAGAAUAAAAACGUAUGUUAUCAACAUAUUGUCACAAAUUAAUUUUUAGAAGCAAGCUCUAUUUGUACCUUCUAAAGAAAAAAAAUCAUGAGCUUUUAAGUGUGUCCUUUUUGAAAGUCUUUGCACCUUAAGCUGCCAUAUGUAUGGUUCAUUUGCUACAUUGUUUUGGCAAGACCAAUAUGGAAUCUGGGUCAUGUGGGUCCAAAAGCUAGAAUGUGUAGAAAAAUUUACAAAAAUAAGUGUUUAUAUGCUUGAAGACACAUGUUUGAACUUUUUUUUUCAAGAUAAUAUUAAGUUUUACAAAUCUUAAGGAAACUUGGUAAGAGUCUUCUAGACAUUUUAGUUUGAAAUUGGUAGUACAAAAUACAUAUGCACACACCCUAAGCAUGUUUUUUGUUCUACAGUUACUGGUUUGUAGUAUUUAAAAAGAAUGAGGCAGUUAGAUACACCACUGACAAUUAGGUUUUUCUGAUGGCAAUGUUUACCAGUAUGAAUGGAAUAAUUUUUGUCAUACCGCUUGCAGUGAGCUCGAUAUAGUUGACACCAUAGCUCUUGCGUAUCUGUAUGUUAGUUGGUUAAGUUUUUCGGUCCGGAUUGCUU